ACGUAGGGUGCGAGCGUUAAUCGGAAUUACUGGGCGUAAAGCGUGCGCAGGCGGUUCUCCAAGUCCGUUGUGAAAGCCCCGGGCUCAACCUGGGAAUGGCAGUGGAAACUAGGGGACUGGAAUCUGGCAGAGGGGGGUGGAAUGCCGCGUGUAGCAGUGAAAUGCGUAGAGAUGCGGCGGAACACCGAUGGCGAAGGCAGCCCCCUGGGCUGAGAUUGACGCUCAGGCACGAAAGCGUGGGGAGCAAACAGGA
rnacentral:rRNA from 1 species